ensembl:lncRNA
UAUGUAUUCCUGCUGCGUGGCGCGUGGGUGCCUCCGAACACCUUUGAUGUGGGCGGGAAGUUCACUCGUGUGUUGCCACCUCCGUUUAUUCGGCUCGCGUCUUCGAUCCGUUCUCACGGUUAAACCGAGACAGCCAGCCAGCUGAAUACCUGCAAAAAAUGGCUUCCUUCAAGUUAUCAGUGAUUGCCUUUCUGGCUAUUGGGCUUUAUCUGGACACAGUAUCUGCUAAAGGAGUCAAUUCUCUAGUUGAAUCAAUUCUAGCGAGUGAUGAUGCGGCAGAGAUUGCUAAAGAUCUUGAUGAUAUUGAACAGAGUGAUUUGAUGAUGGCACUGGGACAAGCAAUGAAGAAAGUUGAAAACAGUGACGAAAUGAAGGCACUAGGUGAAGCAAUUAAGAAGCUUCAAAACAAUGAGGAGGGGGCUAAACUAAUUGCAUCAGCUGAAGCGAUAUUGACAGAUGAACUUAAAGUACCUCAAGUUGAAGCCAUUACGAAGUGUAUAAAAACAACUAAUUAGAUCCUAGAAGUCCACUUUCAACAGCGGAGCCCUAGAGGCUUCGUCUCGACAACUAUUUCCUGCCUCCUUCAUAUAUUCACGUCUCCAUGGUGACCAGAAACCAUAUGCUUUCAUGUUCUUUCUCUUUUCUCAAGAUAACAAAAUAAAGACUUCCUUGCAUUCAUCUGCUGUGCCUUUUGUGGAAUAAUUUUUGACAACUUUAUUGCAUAGUUGUAAAAUUAAUUAUGGUCCCUCAUCUUCCUGUUUUUUGCGCUGCCUUGAAGCUAAGGCGCAGUCACACUAGCCUAUGAGCUUCUCAAUCUGAACCAAUCAGAGAGCUAGGGAGGACUGCCAGGAACGCAGGCUGCCACAUGCUGCAGGCUCUCAUUGUCACAUCUGCCUGUUUAUUCCCCGGACAGGCCCUCUACUGGUCUGCCUCCCAUCGGCCCAUCGCCACUAAUCACACCUCUGGUGGCGUUAUCGAAACCAUCGCCACUCUGACUGUUACCGAACCAUCGCCUCUCUGACUAUCAGCCCGUUAUUGAGCCAUCGCCUCUCUGACUAUCAGCCCGUUACUGAACCAUCGCCUCUCUGACUAUCAGCACAUAACCUAUCCAUCGCCUCUCUGACUAUCAGCCCGUUAUUGAGCCAUCGCCUCUCUGACUAUCAGCCCGUUACUGAACCAUCGCCUCUCUGACUAUCAGCCCGUUACUGAACCAUCGCCUCUCUGACUAUCAGCACAUAACCAAACCAUCGCCUCUCUGACUAUCAGCCCGUUAUUGAGCCAUCGCCUCUCUGACUAUCAGCACAUAAGCAAACCAUGGCCUCUCUGACUAUCAGCCCGUUAUUGAACCAUCGCCUCUCUGACUAUCAGCUUGUUACUGAACCAUCGCCUCUCUGACUAUCAGCCCGUUACCGAACCAUCGCCUCUCUGACUAUCAGCCCGUUAUUGAACCAUCGCCUCUCUGACUAUCAGCACAUAACCAAACCAUGGCCUCUCUGACUAUCAGCCCGUUACUGGACCAUCGCCUCUCUGACUAUCAGCCCGUUACCGAACCAUCGCCUCUCUGACUAUCAGCCCGUUACUGGACCAUCGCCUAUCUGACUACUAGCUUGUUACUGGACCAAAUGAAAGAUGCUUCAUUUGAAAUGUUUAAAACCGUUAACCUGUAAAUUGUUAUUGAAAUGACAUUACAAAUUACAAAAUAAAUUACAUACAUGAUAUUAAUGAAUCAUAAAAAUAUCUUUCAUUACCGAAA